AAGAUGAAUUGAUAGUUUACUAUUACUAAAAUAAAAUAAUUGAAAUAUUUAAAUAAUAAUUGAAAUUUUAUAAAUUAUAUUAAAAUUAUAUAUAAAAACGAAGAAAUAUAAAAAAGCGAACAAAAUUAUUGAAAGUUAUUUUAUAUUUAAUUGCAAGUAAUUAUGGAUAUUAAGAAUAGCAGCUGCUUCAUAAGUGAUGAAGUACAUUUAUUGAUGAUUGAAUUGACUUGAAUUCCAUGCUUGAUUGCAGAUUUUUGGUUCUUUCUACAAUAAGCAGUAAAGAAAAAAUUGUAAUUG